GGGCUGUGAUGACUGAUUUCAUUUCUCGAUACUGAUAUUAAAUGUGUUUGGCUUUCUAUAUGGACCUGUAUAAAAGCUUUGUAUUGUCUGUUUGAUGACUGCGUUUGUGCGUGUCUGAGCCUG
rfam:Ricinus communis cultivar Hale ctg_1100012296463, whole genome shotgun sequence.